UAAAUUAUAAUGUAGCGGUGGCGUAUUCCAUUUAGCUUAUGUUAUCCAACUUGUGUCGUGCUGAACAUUGUCACCAUCAGCAAAUUUAAUUUUAGGGGCCUUCCAGUGUUGAAGUGGCGCCAGACUGCUUUGUGUGUGUGUGAUCCAGGCACACAAGUUGACAUGACAGAAAUAGCUGAAAGCAGAUAUGCAAAGUCCACAGAUGCAAGAACUAGAUUUCUUGCAUGUUGCAGACUUUGUGACAUUUUUUUUUUUGAGUCUUUGGACAGGUGCAGAACAUUAGUAUGACGUCAACACUAGGAGAAGGAACCGAUGAGGACCGAGAUGCUUCAACGCGAUCUGAUUGACUGCCGGCAACCUCUUCUCUAGUGAUGAAAGAUGAAAGUCACUGAAAAGGUUAGCCAGCUGUAGGACUUGAACCCACAUCUCCUGGACUACAGGUCCAGGGCUCUACCAAUUGAGCUAAGCUAACACGCCUUCUCAGCGACUUCCAGGGGUACCCUGACUGUGGUCCAACCAUUAACCGCGGCUACAAAAAGAGCCCCUUGAAGCUUGGAUCAGCGACUAGCCGCUACGAAAGGGCAAAGCGACGAACUACAAAGUCGGUGUGCAACAGACAUGACACACCUGUCAACAUGACAGGAGACACUUUAUCUCAGACAUCGACAAGGAGCACAUGACUCAACUGGAGCAAGAUAACAUCGAGCUGAGGUGCGAGGUGCUGAAGUUUCGAUAUGAGCUCUCUUGCCUUCAGCUGACCCAAGAACGUUUGAGCCACAGUGACGAGCUUAUCAGAUCUUACACGGGACUGCCAUCUUACGACAUAUUAGAAGCUGUAUAUGAGCUUGCUGCGCACAGGAUAACCCAUUCUGAAAAAAGCAGACUCACAAAAUUUCAGGAACUGAUUGUCUUUUUCCUAAAAGUUCCAUUGAAUAUGCCCUUUGAGGAUAUAGCGCAUAGAUUUGACAUUUCACGUACCGCUGCACCACGGAAUUUUUAUAAGUGGCUACAGUGUCUGUACAGUGUGCUCCAGCGCUUUAUUCAGUGGCCUGAUCGGCCAUGCCAUUGGCAUUCCGUGAAACCUUUGGCACAGGAGUUGCUGUAGUGCUGGACUGCUUUGAGAUAUUUAUGAACAGGCCAUCUUUAUUUGACCCACGAAGCGCCAACAUGGUCCACAUACAAAAGUCUCAAUACGGUCAAAUACCUUGUUGGAAUAGCACCACAAGGCUGUGUGAUAUUUCUGUCACGUGGUUUUGGGGGUCGCACAAGUGAUACAGAAAUCAGUGAAACGUCUGGAAUCUUAGACUACAUUCGUCCUGGAGACAUUGUUCUCGUAGAUACAGGUUUUUUAAUAAGUGAGUCAGUGGGCAUAAGAUGUGCAAGUCUAGAUAUACCAUCGUUUACACGUGGUAAACGGCAGCUGUCCUUUGAAGGCGUUGAGAAGUCACAUGAGAUUUCCAACGUAAGAACCCCAAGAACACUCGCGAUCCUCCGGACGUCCUCAAGAUGUCAUCGCGGCCUCGUCCGUGAUGGCAUGUCCGGAGGAGAUCCAGAGAGUGUCAUCAUGGGAUCUUCCAAUGAUAGUCAUUUGCGUACGUCCUGCGGUCGUCAGCCGGAGGACAUAUAUAGGAGAAGUAAAGUACUUUAACACUGCGUUUGUGCAUUUCAAUGCCUCCACCCACUAAUUAGUGUUCCGGUUUCUUUGUCCUAACGAAAUUCAACCGUACCAGCAGUGAUCAUCUAUAAAGUACCUUGCAGACCUUUCCUUUUAGUAAAUGUAUAUUCCCCCGACGAAAAAUACUACGAAGAGCAAAAACAAAUACAGGCGUACAAAUACAAAUUGAAUGAUAUCAAUGAAUACUCCAUUCACUGGGUUUAAUGUGCGAUAAAAUGUAGCUUGCUAGGCGUCUCAUUGUAACCUUGAUGCCAUUCAUAUCCGAGCAAGGUCCCUGACCGGAUGCUACACGGAGCAUUUCCGUGAAAGGUACAGAAAAGUAAUGGCAUAUUGCAGCGAGUGCUAGACUCUCGAUGGGUGCUUGAAAUCAAAUAAGCAGAAAACACGGACUUUACCUUGGUUAUAACCUAAUACUUCGAGCAAUUCGUCACUGCAGUGUUGCUUAUACAUGAAAUUUAAUUAAACUUAGGUACCUCACCCUUCGUUCUGACUGCGACGCUAGGACGACUCUCGCACAUGCGGGAGUUACAAAAUAUAUAGAAUAUGUUUUAUGUGCGAAAGGAAACGCCACUGCCGCAUAUUUCUUUCAAGGUGGGCUGCCUUAGACGUAGUGCACAGGACCUUCUAUAUUUUUGAUUUACAUACCGCGACACCCAUUCUUCGUCAUCGAAAACAGUCGAAGGGGAGAAACUGAAAAUGACAAGCUGGUGGCCGACGUUGAAAAACUAUAAAAAAAGUUGCUUUCUACUGUAAACGUCUGCUCACUUCUAAAUAAGAGAAAUGAAAGAAGAUUCACUAUAGCAACAUGCAGAACAACAUGAUCCUAAAGUGCUCCUGACACUAUCCCAUUUUUGUCCCCAGAUGUUGCCCCUAGGAUCAUCUGUGGUGUUUCAUUCUAACACUUUUCUAACAAGUUCAGGAUCCUUUGGGGAUAUUCCCAGGAUGUCAUUUCUGUCCUACAGUGACAUCCUCAGGAUGAGUGAGGGAUGUCAAUGUGUUCUUGAGGAAUUCAUGUUGAACGAAUUAUAGGACUUGUGUGAAGCAAGUACAAAUUUUUAAGGGCUGCCAUCCCGUAGAAUUCAUGAACAAAUGUGGUGAGGAAAUGACUGUACUUGACCAAAUUGUCACCGUGUGUUGUGCACUAUGUAAUUUUUGUACUUGUGUAGCUUGUGAACAGCUCAAAUAAAAUGUGAACAGUAGGUUUUUA